rnacentral:tRNA from 1 species
GGAGGGGUUCCCGAGUGGCCAAAGGGAGCAGACUGUAAAUCUGCCGGCACUGCCUUCGAUGGUUCGAAUCCGUCUCCCUCCC